GACGAGCGCUGGCGGCGUGCUUAACACAUGCAAGUCGAACGGAAAGGCCUCUUUCGGGGGGUACUCGAGUGGCGAACGGGUGAGUAACACGUGAGUAACCUGCCCUUUACUUUGGGAUAACUUCAGGAAACUGGGGCUAAUACCGGAUAGGAGCUCCUGCUGCAUGGUGGGGGUUGGAGAGUUUCGGCGGUUGGGGAUGGACUCGCGGCUUAUCAGAUUGUUGGUGGGGUAGUGGCUUACCAAGGCUUUGACGGGUAGCCGGCCUGGGAGGGUGGCCGGCCACCUUGGGACUGGGAUACGGCCCAGACUCCUACGGGGGGCAGCAGUGGGGAAUAUUGCACAAUGGGUGGGAGCCUGAUGCAGCAACGCCGUGGGCGGGAUGACGGCCUUCGGGUUGGAAACCGCUUUCGCUCAUGACGAAGCUUUGUGUGACGGUAGUGGGUAAAGAAGCACCGGCUAACUACGUG
rnacentral:rRNA from 1 species